CAAAGCUGCAGUUUACCUACUGUCUAAAGGACAAGCAAGUACCUUCUUCAACAAAGAAAGCACUUUUGUCAGCAACAUGAGGGUCAUCUAUAAGUUACUGGCUACAAUUUGAUCUGCAAACUUGUGUAUUGGAUACAUAUCUACACCAGAUAGGACGAUGUGUGGUAGCAUCCCAGAGGGUAAUGUGUUUGUCAUGUCCACAAGUGAAGAACUGAGGUUUAGAGGAAUGGACUGCAAGACCCCAAAGCUCAUCAGUGUGACCCUACACAAGCAGAAACACUUCUUGACAAGAAGGACAGUACCAUCAAAACUAAACAUGUUUAAACAGGAUUAAAAUGACCAAACUAUAUAUUAAAGCAUUACAAAAAUA